rnacentral:ncRNA from 1 species
UAAUAGUUUGAUUCUAACUAAUUUAUUAAAUAUUAUUUUAUACUUCAUGUAAAAUUUAUCUAAAAGUAAAUAAAUUUAUUAUAACAUUUAUGAUUAAUAUAAAUUACAGUAGUUAAAACUAAUCAAUAUACUAAAGUAUGAACUGGUAAAAAUAAUUAUUGUCGGCAAAAUUCGUGCCAGCAGCCGCGGUUAGACGAUAGACAUAUAAUAAAAAAAACUCUUAAAGAUAUAAUAUAAAUACUAAUAGGUUUAAUUAAAACAAAUAUAGAACCAAAUAUAUCACUAAUAAAUUAUUAUUUAAAACAAGGAUUAGAUACCCUUCUAUUAAUAGCCUAUUAAAAGAGUUGGAAAAUACGAACAAUAGUUUAAACACUAAAGAAUUUGGCGGUGUUUUAUUUAAUUAGGGGAACCUGUCCCAUAAUCGAUAACCCACGAAGGCCUUACCUAAUUUUGAAACUCAGUUAGUGUACUGCCGUCUUAAGUAUACCUUUAUGAGAGUAUACAAUUAAUUAUAAAUAGUAAUACGUCAGGUCAAAGUGCAGCUUAUAAUUAGGUGGAGAUGGGUUACAAUCUUAAUAAAGAUACGAAAAAAUAUAAUAAACAAUAUUUUAAAGGUGGACUUAAUAGUAAUUAAAUAGUAGUUUAAUGAAUAUAACUCUAAAACAUGCACAAAUCGCCCGUCACUCCUUAAAAGGAUAAGUCGUAACAUAGUAAAUGUAACGGAAGUUGCAUUUGUC